rnacentral:rRNA from 1 species
AGGACUGCCGGUAAUAAACCGGAGGAAGGUGGGGAUGACGUCAAAUCAUCAUGCCCUUAUGACCUGGGCUACACACGUGCUACAAUGGUUGGUACAACGAGUUGCGAGUCGGUGACGGCGAGCUAAUCUCUUAAAGCCAAUCUCAGUUCGGAUUGUAGGCUGCAACUCGCCUACAUGAAGUCGGAAUCGCUAGUAAUCGCGGAUCAGCACGCCGCGGUGAAUACGGUUCCCGGGCCUU